AGUUUAGGAUAACAUUUUAAAUUGCGAUAGCAAGAUCACAAAUUUCUCAGCGCCGGCUGCCGCCUAACCCUAACCAUCGCCGCUCCGAUCCUUCCCUCCCCCGCCGCCGCCACAGACGAUUCUGACGGCCCGCCUUCGCGCGCGACGCCGCCGGCGCCCCUCCCCGCCAACUCCCCUCCUCCCCUCAUCCAAAUCGACUCCGCCGGCACGAAAGCGCCCCUCCUCCUCGACCGCGUUCCGACACUGCCGGUGCCCCCUCGCUCCGACCGCGUUGCGCCGCCGUCGAAUCCCGUCUCCAUUGUCAAAUUGAUUGCACACUAAUUUUGAAAUAUGGGAGCACAUCAGAAGGUUCUCAUUAUGACAGCGGAUGGUACACAGAUGCAAUCGUAAACCUUCUGUCUAUAUAGUCAAUAAAACAGUUUUACUGGAUCCUUGAAUUUGCUGUUCUGCAACGUGGAGUGUAUAUAGCAUACUUGAGAAUCAUUGGUUGUCACUGCAUUAUAGUUGUACAUCAUAGAUCCCAUCAAAUAUUGGAUCAAUUGUGACUUGCGAGCACAUGUGUGCAGCGUGAGCAGUUGGGCUGCAACUUGCCAGGGCAAGAUCAUUUGUCAAGGUUGGAAUUGCUGCGGGAUCAUCCGAGGCCUCGACACGACAUACCCUCGUCUCAUUGCUCAGUUUACAGAGUCAAGUUCCAAGAAGAUCUUUUUGCUGAGGGAGCACUGGCCCUAGAGCAAAGGAUUAUGUAGAUGUGCGGCGCAUGCAGCAGCGCAAUGGCAGCAAAAGUUUAUCAUAAUAUCCUCAAUGAUCGAUCUGAAAAACAAAGUGUGCUGAAAUGGUAGUAUAAGAUAAGAGCUUGACCAUGUAGGAUGCACUUGGCAAGCCUUACUGGUUCUCAAUUUUCUUCUGAACGGAUUUGCACAUCCUGAUAGCAUAAUCCAAUGCUUCUUUUUCCCCCCUUUUUCAGGUUAAUUCCAGUGGCCAGUUUGUAGGAAUAUCUUACAUAUUAUGCCCUAUUGAUUUCUAACAUAUCAUGGACUUUUGGAAACAAGAUAAAUGGAAUGGCUUAUGAAUGCACUUUUCAUUCA